GCAGGAUGCUCGACUCCUCACUCUCCAACCUUCACCUUUCUUUCUCUGGUCUCUCCAUCUACCUCUUCCUCUCUGCUGUGACGAACACCCUCUCACACCUCUUAGUCUUUUCAUCCCUGCAAAAGUCAAACUUUUAAUGGUGUCGUCUCGGCCAGCCAACAGGUGUGUAUGGAUCGCAGGAAAGGAUUUCUCAGAAGAUCAUUGAUUUUAUGAAAUGAUCAACGCAUCUCCGAUUCACCAUUUCUUUCCUCAUGCCAUCUCUGGUUUUUGUAUUUGUCACUAAAUAUUGGAGGAUGACAAGAACACGAAGACACAGAAGAAGACAGGACGUGAGUGGACAGAAAACCUGCAACAUCAGCAGCAUGAUGGGAGGACACCAGAGUCUCACUGAGCAAAAACAGGACUCAUUCCUUUAAAAUCUAUGGACUUGUCACUGUUCGAACUUCAGUGACGCAACACUUCAGUGUGUGGGGAAUAAUGUGUCUGCGUCUUUUAACCCUUCAACCCAGAGAGAGGACAACAACAUGGAUGUUUUGCACAUAAUAGAAUGACUUGAUGGAGGUUUGUGCCGUCCAAUGGGGCUAUUUACAGUAAAUUUACCACAUAAAAAAAAGGAGAUAUAACUUAAUAUUUACGCCUGAAUGAGGUUGUUGUUGGACCUCAAAACAACAACAUCGUCCCUUGUUGUCUGGAAAUCAACCUGAUGUAUCUGCAGACACAACCUUCCUCUGAAGACACUUGAAGUAUUGUCAUACUUUACACCUUCUGGAGCAAAUGAACUUUGUGGAUGAGAACUUGGGCACAUUUACAUGCAUAUGGAUAUUUACAUAUAUAUGGAUUUAGAUCGAGCCAACACGAUGACACGAUUCACAUGGCGGCUUGCGCUGAAGUUGACAACAGAGACGCUACAAAACAAAAAAAUGAGACCUGUUACCGAACGACUGCUGAAUGAAAGGCCCGGAGGAGACGAGAGCCGGAGUGGGAGGAAUAAUCAUUUGAUGAGUGCAGACUUUCCAGACCAGACCAGAGGACGACGGGGUUUCUUCUCUUCACUGCUGCUGUGCGGUUACUCUGAGAUCUAAAUUUUUUUUACUAUAUUCUGAAUUUUUUAUGACAAGCUUUACUAUGACUUUUAACCAUACAUACCCUACUGACAUAUUAUACCUUUUUUAUGGCACACUAUACUUUAUAUAGUUUUUAUGACAUUUUAUGGCAUACUACAUUAGGGCUCUUUAUGACUUAUUUUAUGUAUUUUUACUACUACUUCAAGAACUUCAAGCGCUAAAACUACUAGAGAUUUGAUUUGAUCGUUAUCAAAUGUUUUUCGGUAACUUAUAUGUAUAAAAGUAUUAACAGAACAGUGUCCUUACACUGUCUCCUUACCAGCAUUGACCUGGUCUUCUGUUGAGCUUCCCUCUGGUUCUCCAGCUGCUCCUCCAGCGUCUUCUGGAGAAUGGAGACACGAAAAAAAUGCAUAAAUGUAAAAAUAAUUUCAUAGUACAGUAUAGUAUGUCACAAACAAUGUAAUAGUAUUUAUUUCAUAUACAAAUGAAAGUAAAGUAUGUCAGCGGUACCUCCCAAGUUUCGCAGGAAUUACAUUCCGUCAUCAACGCUAGUGCUGUUAGCGAUAACGCUGCAGAAGUGAAAUGGAACUUUUACUGUAUGACCCUCAAUCAUAUGCUGGCUCCCUAAAUUGGCCCUCAGCAAUCAAAACUUUGAGACCCUAAAGGAGAGAAUUAAGCAUACGGAAAAUGAAUAGUGUGAUAUGUCGCGUUCUGCACUGUGAAGACAUACAUUCCAUUUGUCUCCCACUAGUUUCAGACCAUUACUGCCGAUGAAUGAUGUGGUCGCUAAUUGUGAAAGUACUUGCAAUGAGACGCUGUUGAAAAUUACAAGAGGUCUUGUUCACAUUAUUAGCUCAAUGCGGAAACCUCCUCUUUUUUGUGGCACACAUGGAACCGAUUAUGAACAUGGAAGUGUUGUCUACAGCAGGAGAGAACAGCUCAGAAUAUGCAUUGUUGGGUUGGUUUCCUCUGUUAACACUGCUGGAAGUAUGUUAUAGCGGUAUGAGAAAUGAUAGAAUAAAUGGUCUUGAAGCUCGGGUGUAAACGCAGACGUCUCUGCCUGAAGCCCGGGUUGUCUGGCAGACAGGCACAAACCCAUUAGCAAGGCUCAGUUAGCGAUCGUCUUGUAAACCGAGACCCCGGGCAUUCAUUAGGCAUCAAUCAAAGGACGAGGUGCGAUGAUUAAAUGAUGAGUGCAAAUGCUCGACAGUGUUCGGUACACCGGGCCACUUUACUUUGACACUUGAAAGUGGGGGAAAUGGAUGGAAGAAAGAUGAUGUUAGUCUCCAUGUAGAUGGCUGCAACUGGUUAAUUUAUUCAUGGGAGUUAUUGAAGAAAGUGAAUUUGAAAACCUUGAAGUCAAAGCUUCAUGAUGCCUACAAAUGCUGUUGGAGCAAAGGGAAUUCAUUCACAUUGGCUGCCACUUACGACUGUUACAUUUCUACUAAUUGAGGAAAUCACAAACUUUUUCUGACUAUUUCAAAGCUCAGACAGUAUCAGCAGGCACCAGAUAAAUGAAACACCAACACCAAGUGUGGGAUCUGUGAUGUAGCAGAAACUUUCAAGAUAAGGAGAUAAUAUAAUAUGUCAAAAACAUGUCAGCCUGUCAGGUGUUUUCCAUCAGAGCCUACCGGGUUCUUCUCAGCGUUCUCAUCGUCCUCGGUGCUGCACUGCGUGUGGUGAUUGUGUAGGAUGAUGUGGGCCGCUUCAUCCAUCGGUUCACCAAGCUGCAACAAACACAGAGGCAGAUUAGAGGCGUGUUGGAGGGCUGCUACAACGUUAAACAGCUCCUUUAGACACUUCAUGGGACUGGAAUGAACUGGGUUCAAUCCCAUCUGCAAAAAAAAGAUUAUUUGUAUAAAUUUGUCAAGUAGCGUUUUUUGAUUGAUUAAAUUAAACAUUUUAGUCGAUAAAAUGUCAGAAAAUAAUGCCGUGCAAAAAUCACAAAAGUUGUAAGAAAUAUCGGAAAACAGUCAAAAUAUAGUAUGCCAUAAAUGUUUAGCAUGGAAUUAAAAAAUAGCACAAUAUAGCAUGAAAAAAAUAUGUCAAACAAAGUUUGUGUAUGGAGAGAAACUGAAGAAAAUAGUCAUUUCCUCAAAGGUUAAUGAGCUUAUUUGAUAUGAAAAGUGAUCACUACUACACCUUUACAGUAAAACACACUUUUAAUUACUAUUUUCAUCAUAAUCACAUCCAGAGCUGAGACGGCUGAACUGUUUCUCUGAGCCCUUA